GACUCCUUCAGCGCGCUGCCUGCCUGCCCAGGGCCUUCCCGGAGAGCAGGUGACGGCGGCCUCCGGGCAUGGAGCUCGCGCUGACGAAAGGUUCUGGAAGCCGCCGUAAAAAGUAAUCAAGAAACGGGUGACAGGACUUUUCGUAAGACAUUUAAUUUUUACCCAGAGUAUCCGAAACAUUGCCGUGUCAAUCUCAGUGCGAUGGGAGACUGCCGGCCCCAAGGAGCUGCUCGUCCUUCUGCCGAGUUCCGGCCCGGACCCGCGGAGGAGGAGACCGCCGCGCCGGAGCUCGGACCUGACGUUUUUGUGAAGCACAGGGGGCGUGGGAGGGACCGGAUCAAUGCGGCACUCAACAAAACCUGUUUUUAAAAGAGUCGUGCUGUGUCGCCCAGGCUGGAGUGCAGUGACGCGAUCUCGGCUCACUGCAGCCUCCACCUUCCGGGCUCAAGCGAGCCUCCCGCCUCAGCCUCCUGAGUAGCUGGGAUUACAGGCACACACCUCCAGCUCGGCUGUUUUAUUUAUUUAUUUUUUUUUUGAGACGUAAUUUAGCUCAUGUUGACCAGGCUGGAGUGCAGUGGCGCGAUCUGGGCUCACCGCAACCCCCGCCUCCCGGGUUCAAGCGAUUUUCCGCCUCAGCCUCCUGAGUAGCUGGGGUUGCAGGCAUGCGCCACCACGCCCGGCUAAUUUUGUACUUAUAGUAGAGACGGGGUUUCUCCAUGUUGGUCAGGCUGGUCUCGAACUCCCGACCUCAGGUGCUCCGCCCGCCUUGGCCUCCCAAAGUGCUGGGAUUACAGGCGUGAGCCACCUCUCCAGGGCCAAAAGCCUUUUAUUGGAGUACUGGGUAACACAUUCAGAAGAGGGUGCAUAGCUUAGGCGCUCCGUGAAUUUUCACAAACUGAACAUACACCCAGGAACAAGGUCUCACCAUGCUGCCCAAGCUGGUCUGAAAACUCUUGUCCUCAGGCAGUCCUCCCACCUCGGCCUCCCAAAGAUCUGAGAUUACAGGCAUGAGCCACCACACCUGGCCUUGGUUUUAAUUCCUGUCACAGUAUAUUAGUUUUCGCUGUUGUGUAUUGAUUGAUUGAGACAGGGUCUCGCUCUGUUGCCCAGGCUGGAGUGCAGGGGCAUGAUCCCAGCUCACUGCAACCUCCACCUCUUGGAUUCAAGUGAUUCUCCCGUCUCAGCCUCCCGAGUAACAGGAACCACAGGUGUGUGCCAGCACGCCUGGCUAAUUUUUUUUUUUUUUUUCUUGAGGUGGAGUUUCACUGUUGUUGCCCAGGUUGGAGUGCAGUGGCACAAUCUCAGCUCACUGCAACCUCUGCCUCCUGGGUUCAAGUGAUUCUCCUGCUUCAGCCUCACGAGUUGUUGGGAUUACAGGCGCCCGCCACCACGCCCAGGUAAUUUUUGUUUAGUAGAGACGGGGUUUCACCAUGUUGGCCUGGCUGGUCUCGAACUCCUGACCUCAGGUGAUCCACCCACCUCGGCCUCCCAAAGUUGUGGGAUUGCAGGCGUGAGCCACUGCGCCUGGCCUAAUUUUUCAAUUUUUUGGUGGAGAUAGGGUUUCACCAUGUUGGCCAGGCUGGAGUUUUGCCUGUUCUAGAAGCUUGUAUCAGUCAUACAACACCCCUUUGAGGAACCGUUUGAGGUGUGGCACGAUACAGCAAGUCAGCUGCCAAAGAGGGGCUUAGCCACAGGAAGUGCGUGCCCAGAACGCAUCUCCCGUGUCCCUCACAGCAGUUCUAUGAGGCUGGCUGCCCUGUUUGACAACUGAGGCCCGCAUCUUCCCCGGAAUCACCGACGUGUGGCUCUGAGCCCUGUCCCAGGGAUUUUCUCCAUCAGAGAAGAGGAGCACUUUGAGCUUUGAGAGGAGCAGCCCUCUGCAAGUGAAGUGGAAAAAAAGGAAGCAGGCGAGGAGGCCCAUCCAGACCCUCCCCCAAGACCCUUGCUGAAAUGGCUGGGAUGCGGCGUGCAGAAGCUCUCCUUUCCUUCACAGCCCCUGGCUUUCCAAGAGUCCCUGCCCACCCAGAUGCCCGCUGGCAGAUGCAGCCUCAUCUCAAGGACACUGCUUGCUGGAUAAAUCCCUCACCACCCUAGAGACAGCCCACGGUCCUGAGACAAGGAUGCGGGCCAGGCUUGUUGCACGUAAGCGCCUCCCGCAGAAACCAGUGAGGCCGGAGUUCCAGAGGAAAUGAUGUAGGGACAGAGGCAGAGGGCCUCCAGGAGGCACCAGCCCCAGAGUCUUCCCUAGAAUCAGACUUUAAGCACAAGCAGGGAGGGAAAGCACUUGAGCAGUGCCCGUCCCUGCAUACCUGGCCUCUGCUGGAACCCAUGCAGGGACAGGACACUUCUUUAUCAGCAAUCCUGUUCCUCUCCUGGGCAGCUUCAACCUGAACAUCCUCCUUCACCUUGAGCUAAAAUGGGUUUCUUGUCACCCUUGCCCAUCAAACCUGGCCUUGCCCUCAGGAACCACACAGGACAAGCCUAAUACUUCCUUCUUGUGGCAACACUUUAGCAAUUGAGACCUGGCUGUCAGGUCCUCCAAAUAAACAUUUGUGACUGUGAUGUUGACUUGCCGCUUCUGGGGACCUCUUCUCAUUUGAUCGGAGAAAGUUUUUCAGGGUUAAACCUACUUCUUUCCCCCAAGAAACUCUUCUUGUCAGGCUCACGCCUAUAAUCCUGGCACUUUGGGAGGCCAAGGCAGGAGGAUUGUUUGAGACCAGCCUGGGCAACGUAGGUAGACUAUGUUGC
rnacentral:lncRNA from 1 species